AGUGUUAAUUUAAGAUAUUUAACUCUUUGAAAAGCAACUGACUGUUCCUAAAGCAAAUGGUAAAAAACUUGAUGGUUGGAACUCGAGACCCAACUUCGAACUUAGUUGAUUCACAUUGUCAAUUAAAUUUAUUUCUAAAUGAAAUAAACAAAGCAGGUAGCGUGCUAUCUAUCUCUCUCAAAAAAAAAAAAAAAAAAAACUCCUUGAAAA
rnacentral:lncRNA from 1 species